AUCAAGCAGCUAGCUAAAAUAGAAAUGUGUAGCUAGUAGUCCUAAUACUACACGUAUUCUGAUUACUACUCUGAUGCCUAGUAGGUUUACAGCUAGAAAAUCUCUAAAGGGAAAGGUUGGUUCCUGUAUCUAACAGCUAAAUACCUAACCACUGCAAGAAAAAACGUUUGUUUCACAACACACAGUUCCCGCGCAUUGUGCCUCAGAAAUAUGUCAUCAGAUCUAGUUCACGGCUACUAUCGAACAAGGGCGACAUAACUCGUCAAACGAUGACUAAGGAUUUAAAAGCAAUUAUCUACUUUGUUUCCCCCCGCAAACUACUAUAGCUCACAUCCAUGUGUAUACUAAUGCAGCCUGUUAUGAUGUCAACUGAGCUAGCUGAUCGAAUUACCCCCAACAAAGGUUAUCAUUCUUGCGAUCGGAUUCACGUCAUAACACUGGUUGAACCAAUCAUGGGCCAGUAUUCAGGUUACGCAGCCAUUAUGAAAUGAUGUAAAAUGCCGCAAUCAUAAUGUUUUUGUGGUGAAACCUUCAUAAUUAAAAUACUGGAUUUUUCAAGAAUUCUUUUUUUUUAGUCAAAUCUUUAAUAUGUUUUAGA